AUUGAACGCUGGCGGCAUGCCUUACACAUGCAAGUCGAACGGCAGCACGGGGCAACCUGGUGGCGAGUGGCGAACGGGUGAGUAAUGCAUCGGAACGUACCUUUCAGUGGGGGAUAACGUAGCGAAAGUUACGCUAAUACCGCAUAUUCUGUGUGCAGGAAAGCAGGGGAUCGCAAGACCUUGCGCUGAUUGAGCGGCCGAUAUCAGAUUAGCUAGUUGGUGAGGUAAAGGCUCACCAAGGCGACGAUCUGUAGCGGGUCUGAGAGGAUGAUCCGCCACUCUGGAACUGAGACACGGUCCAGACUCCUACGGGAGGCAGCAGUGGGGAAUUUUGGACAAUGGGGGCAACCCUGAUCCAGCCAUGCCGCGUGAGUGAAGAAGGCCUUCGGGUUGUAAAGCUCUUUCGGCCGGGAAGAAAUCGUAUCAGCUAAUACCUGGUGCGGAUGACGGUACCGGCAUAAGAAGCACCGGCUAACUACGUGCCAGCAGCCGCGGUAACAC
rnacentral:rRNA from 1 species